UCAUAAGGCCAUACAUCCUGAACGCACCCAAUAUCAUUCAUACUCGGAGAGAUAGGCAGGGUCGGGCCUGAUGAGUACUUGGAUGGGGGGACCACCUAAGAAAGACGGGGUGUUGUAGGCG
rnacentral:rRNA from 1 species